AAAUCCUUCUUCAGGAUGGUGUUUUCUUUCAGCCUGUAUGGUGUUGCCUCAAGAGGGAUGCAGCACAGCUGGUGAAUGAGUCCAUGUGCCUUUUCAAAAAAGGAGGGUCUUCAGCAGUUGCAUCACUGAAGAGCCCAUGUUUAAUCCCCCUUGAAAAACAACUAUAAUGUAGUUCUACAGCAAAUAAUGAAGGUGCGGGUACUUUGGCCACAACAUCAAGAAAGAAGGAAAGAAUGGGGUUCUCAUGCAAGGGUCUGACUCCACCAUCACAGCACAGAGUCUUUGGUGAUGCUCCCACUGCCCAUCUCUAGUCAAGAAAAGGGCUUGAAUUUCAGAUGCAGCACAAUCACCUGAGCAGUCUGGGAAUUGCAUCUGACAACACUGUCAAUAUGGAUGCUGCUCAUUCAUAUGAUCUGUAACAUUUGCCUCCUUACAAUAUCAUGGAUUACCCUGAGAAGUGUCUUUAACUACUGUGUGACAACUGACAGCUUCCAUUGGGAUGCGCUUCCCUGCUGCAGUGAUCUCCUCUCUUGGGCGAUAUUUUAGCUCCUGCAUCAAUUUUACAAGGUCCCAAAUAAUUUCCUUCAGUUUUGGUUGGUUUUUUUUGUUUUUUUUUUUUUCCCAAUGGAAAACAUGUCACAUGUUUAGUCCUUCAGAGUCUCUCAUUCCCUGCUUCCCUGCUGAGAAGAGAUGGAUUUUUUCUGAAGUUUUUAUUCCAGAAUUGGUGUAGAGUAGGGAACGUAGUUCUUAGCGUAUCAUAUAACAUUUGGCUAAUGCUCUGGGGCUAUUUCUGGUAACUGCAACAGGAGUUACAGUGCUAGGCUAGGUCUCUUAUAUAUUCUAAUGAAAUAAUAAUUAGUAGUCUGAUGCAGUCUACAGGAAUAACAGAGAUUUGGAUCCUUUCACCUCAUUUGGGGCACAUAUAUUAAAGAAUGAGCUCUGUGCUUAAGAGAGAUUACACGGGGAUUAUGAAAUGUAGAAACUGUAGUUGCAAAAAACAGUUUUAUUCAGCAGCAGAUUACUGUCAUUUUACUGCAUGCUUAUGAAAACAGGAGUUUCUAGCUAAACCCAGACUUCAUUAGUGUGUAAAUAUUAGCCUCUGUAGAAAUACAGCAUUUCAGUAAAAAAAAAAGUGGAAAAGCAUUUAUCAACUCAUUUGAAAUUCAUAUAAUUUACACAGUGUCCUGAGGCUGUCUGCACUCUCUUCAGAAAUACCAGAUUUAAAGAGGCCCUUGCACUUGGCCAGCUCUCCAGUGAAUAAGACAAACCAGUGAAGGUAGUGGAUAACUGAUGUAUGGAUGAUCAAAAUGUGCUAUUCCAUCCAUGAUGGGAAAAGGAAUGUGUUAAGGCAGAGGUGUAUCAUAUAUGACUUUUUUCAAAUGAACACACAAAAGAACAUAACAUGCCCAUAGACUCACAAAUGAAUGAUGACAUUUAUUCCACUUGUGUCUUGGGAAUGAUGGAUUUACCUGUUCUCUUGAUGCUGUUCGGCAAAAAAUCUGCUGCAGUCUAUUGAUUACUUUAUCUUGCACCAACUUGGGAGUAAUUAAUUUUAUGUCUGCAUAAUUAAAAUUGAGUUAAUCAGAUAGGUGUGAGCGAUCCUCCCCAAAACAGGCAACUGAAAAAAAACACUGGAAUCCCCUGAUUUAUUUUAAAAUGUGAAGAAUUUUUGGGCAAACAAAACAAAAUCCAAGCAGUAGAACAAAACACAAAAUAAAGUUUUGGACUGGGAAAAUGAAAUAAGAAGAUAAAGAAGAUAAGAUAAAUCUUCAAUGGAAUAUUGAUUUCUUUUUUGAUCUUACAAAAGGAGAUUACACAGAGUGGAGAAUAUUUAACCAAAAAGACAGCAGAAAAGAAAUGCACUUCCACUAAAGCCAGAAAGAAGCUGCAGUCACCUAGGCAGAACCAUAAAAAGCACUGAAAAUAUCUUCCCUGAUAAAAGGCGUUCUAAGAGAAGGACUGGGAAAUAUGUUUCAUAGUUUUGUGAUAAUUUAUUUUGAUAUUGGGAGUGAAAAUGUCAUUGUUUUUAGGAAUCUCCUUUUUCUUCACUUGAGUAUGUUUAUGGUAAAAUGAGUCAGAAUUUAAUAGACUUUGAAGAUAAAUCAUCUCUGGAUGUUUUCAGUAAAAUAAAUCACCUCUGGAUGUUUUCAGAGAAAAAAAAUUCCAUCUUAAUCUUAAAUUUUUCUCUAUUUUUUACUGCCUUUUGCUGAGGCUGUUUACUCUGCACAUAUUAGAGAGAAGGAUAACAAAGCAUUUUAAAUAGGCAAGAUCUGUGUGUGUCUCCUUAGAAGGUAGCUUCUUGAUCUAGCUGGUAUUUUUUUUUUUGAAUUCUGUUUUCUGACUAAGGCAGUGUUCACCAGCAGGAAGGAGCUAAAAGAUACCUAAACAACUCAGGAGCUGUCUGCCAAUCAGGGCUAAUCUUGAGGCAGAAGCAAUAAGAGGCUUCAGAAAGAAGGAAGUCUUUCUGGCAUUUAUUUCACUUCUCUGUGUUUAUCAAUUGAGAAUGACUGGACCUGAAUUGUUAAUAAAUACAAAUGGUUAUUGUGGGGUAAAAUCAAAACCUGUACAAAAGAAGGCAAAUAUAUUUCAGAAUGUCCAGCUUCUGCAUCUUUAACUUGAGAUCUCAAACUCUGUGGCUCCACAACAGGACAGGGUAGUAGUCUGUGAGUGGCAUUUGACACAUAGCUCAAUAGUCCUGAAAAUAUUUUUUUAAAUGGCAGAUAAGGGAGAGAAGGCUCUUUUUGUAGAUAACUCUGGUACUAUUGUCAUGCUUAAGGUCCUUAGCCACAUAGGAAAGGUUCUGAUUAGAGUAGAUGUAACAGGAAUCUGUUCUCAAAAUAGAAACUGGCUAUAGAAUGACAAAAUGAUUUGAUAGUGAUGCUGAAUUUCUACUCAAUCAUAAGCAAGGUUUUACGUGUAUUCUUUAUGCUAUGCAAGGCUGGAUUUUCUUUUCUCAUUUUUGCCUUGUCUUUUGGUAUGAAAUAGCUUCUCAAGAACAUAACUUGAGUGUCAUAAGUCUGCCACAUUUAUAAUUUGCUGUCAUACAUUAUGAUUUUGAAUAAGAAAUUGGUAACUUAGCUUCAGUUUACAUUACUGUCUUUGGCCAAUUUACAGACUUACAUAUGAUACCACAGACUCACAAGUCAGCCUUUACUGCAAGAGUUAAAUGACUCAGUUUGGACCUGGGAGCCAGACAGCUAAAUAUAGUACACAGCAUUAGAGCCUGGUACAGCUGGGGGAAAAAAAUCCAUUUGGGGACUUAUAAAAGGUCAGUUUGGAACAGAGGUGCCUGGGGUGCAGAAACACUUGCCCUGACAACUAACUUCAUUCUGUUCCUAUUUGAGAAGUGGCACAGCAGAUCUGCUGGGGACUGAAGAAAGUAUAGAAAAGUAAGACAGGGAGAGAGAAAAAUGGACAUAGGAAAGGUUUGAGCUAGUUAUUCCAAAUAUUAGUGCAGGAUGUAUGCUAUUCAGUAUCCACUUCUGUGGGAAAGUGGUGUUGUGGCACUGUAAAUAUCUUGUUGAACGUGCACAAACUCAGCAUUCUCUGUGCAAAUUCUUUAUUGAAACGAUGAUCAAUGUACAAGCUACAUCACAUUUCAUUUUGCCACUUCAGCAUGAACUUUUCUCUUUGUGGUUUACGGCUGUGAGCUAUAAAAUCAUAACAGUUAUUUAAAUCAAAAUACAGCAACUGCUUCUCAAAAGAACACAUUCAUAUUUGUCUUACAUUUCUUGUAAAAUCAAAAAGGAUUUCAUAAUAAAUGAAAUAUAACUUACGAGACUUUAGUGCAAGCAUUUCCUUUGCAUCUAAGAAGCUUUCAGUUGUCCCACUAAAUAUGGCAUACUUAAGAGGCCAACUCUUAAAAUAGCAUGCUGCCAAGAUAUUCCAUGAGAACUUUGAAAAUCUGACACUGUUAACACUUUCUAGAAUUAGUUAAUCUGACCAAACUGAAAGUCAGAAAGCCCUGGUUGUAUGGUACAGUACUUUUGUCAAAAGGUAACUGCAAAUCAAGGAAUUGACAUAGUAUCUACAUUAGAAUAAAACAGGCACUGAUUUAAAAAAAAAUCAACAUCUGCCUGUAUAUGCCAUUUCACAAGUCUUAUGAUUAUGCAAUAAUUUUUAAGCACACGAGUGUACUUCUGUGCCUUACCAAGUACCAACAAACCUGCACAAAAUGCUGGUCUAUGGGUUCUUUUAAUUUUUUUAUAUGACAGACAAAAAACCCCCUGAAGGAUAGGUUUCACCACAAAUAUGUUCGAAUCAGAGAACAAAAAAAGGAUCAAAUGCUGCUCAAAAAGAAGGUGUUGAGAAAAUAGUGAAUAUUAUGUUUAAGUGGUCUGAUUAGUAUGGUCUUACAUUUACCAAAAAAAGAAUAAUAAGUGUGAAAUUCAAAUCCAACACUGAUUUCUUCUGCUGCAGAAAUCUAGUCAUCUUUCAUGAAGUUUGGCAAAAUUGUUUGAAAAUGGUGUAAAUAUAAUUGUGCAAAUCUCUUUUGCUUAUUAAGCCUGGCUUGGUGUUCCUUUACUUUUAGAAUGCAAUUUCAGUUGGAUUGGAUUUUCCAGAUUCUGAGUGUUUUAAGAACCAUUAGUGUUUGGCGGUACAAUAAAUAGAAAAAUGUAACAAAAAGUGUGCAUAGUCCAAUUAUGGGAACAGAUUAAUGCCCCUGAAGUGCUUAAUGUGCAUGAAAAUAUAUAACAAUGCAAACAUUAAUAUUUUCUUAGAGCCAUUAUUAAUUUUAUGUUUGUUAGUUGUGAUUUUGGACCAUAAAACAGCCAUUUGCUAAGAAAUACUGCAAGAUACAAUUGCAUACUUUAUAAUAGCACAGCUGGAAAGUUUGGAACAGGAAAGACAGGUUUGGGUCUUGCUUCCCUUCUGUCUUCCACAAAGGAAGUUCCUGAAAGCGUACAAAAAGCUUUAGUCUUAGAAGUGUCAUAUAAUGGGUGCAUAAGACACUGAGCAGCAGACACAAAACCACCAAAAAAAUCACAUAAACCAGAACCAUCGGUUCCGUAUAAAAUCUGUAUUUUCUUCAGCUACAGUGCUGUUUAGUUUUUAUUCUGAUAAUAACACAAAGCUAAAUGUCCAGACUGGCUGGAGCAGUCCUACUUGUGAACUCUCAUCUCUGAGUGACUCCAGCUCUAGAAAAUUCAGGGUUCCCUCUGACCUUGCAACAGCAGGAGUCCAGCCCUCCAUGUAUUGCACGCAUCUAAUCCAAGUACCGGCUGCUUAUAUGUGGUUUGCAAUGUGCGUUUGUGUGUACUUCAAAUGUGCCCUUUGUGGGCAACCUCUAGGGAAAAACAUCAUUUGUAUCUUCAAGGAAGUUUACACAGUGGUACUGAAGAAAUCCAUGGGGAUUGUUUGCUCUCAAAUGUUUCUCAAUAAAUAAAUAAUAAAGAGGCUGGAGAACAGCCUCAGAGAAGCAGUCACGGUCAGAACACUAGAGAAAUACAUGGAGGGGUCUGAUCUCUACUGUAAAAACUUCAUACUUUAAAAAGAUUAAAAUUAAAAUACUGUAAUAAAUAUUUUUAUAACUUAAAAAAAGUGUAAUUUAAAAGUUAUUUUUAGGCUUUCAAGGAGAACAUCCUUGCUUAUCUGUGCAAUCUUGGUUGGGCACCAGGUAGGUAACUUUAGAAUGCAUGGGCAUUGUUUGUAAAUGCUGGACAGGCAGAAACAUCAACGUAUCUCAGGAGGUUAAGGUGAAUUGAAGGAGUUUAGUGCAAGUUGCUGAUUUUGUUUCUGCCCUUGUUCUUUUUCAUAUCAGAAGCAAAUCAAGUAACUUGAAAAACUGAUGUGAACAAUAACAGAAAUGUCCUUUGGAUUCAGACAAGAAGUUAACAGUUUGCACCAUAUUAUUGUCAAUCACACUGGUCAGACGUGAGGUUCUUUAUGGUAUUCUUUUAAACUAACUUCUGUCUUACAUUUAUAUUGCUUCACUGGAACUCAAAUAUUCCCAGCCACAUUCCUAAUGGGACUUUGCCCUUGCAUGUUUCCUUUUGGGCAUGUCCAAAUGCAUUUUGUGUAGAAACCUGCCACUGUGGUGAGCACAAAAAAAAUGAGACAUCUGAAUGCUGCUAUUUCUCACAAAUUGGUUGUAAAAUCUGAAGUCCAUUAUUAAACAUGUCUUUUUUUUAAUAACCACAGAAAGAUAAAUAUGAAACCAUCUCUGCAUCACCUAUGUAAGUCAUGGGGUAUUCCUGUAUUGCACUGCUGAUGAGGCUCUGCACUUUAACAUGUGGAAGUUGACACAAGACCUCAGUUCAUUUUCAAGGGUUCUUUUAUGUACCUGCAACACUGAUUUUGUCUGGUCUUGAUUACCCGUGCAGUUAAUAUAACUGAUUGCCUCCAACAGACACCUUAUGGAGAUGUGGCUGCUUUGUUAAAAUGUCCAGAAAGCCAUCCAUGCAUCAUGUCACCAUAGACCUAAGAGACUUCUUUUUCUACAGUAUACCU